AUCAGCACUGGAUGGAGGGUCAGGGGAUUACAGUUCUGUUCCUGCCAUUGCCAGCGAGUUGCUGAAUGAUCUUCAGCAAUUCAUUUGAUCUUUCUGCACCUCGUUCUCACAAAUAAGGAUGCUGCUUGCUAAAAAUAGGUGAUGGAGAAGACUUGGAGCUGCUGAGACAGAGCAAGACCGUAAAUCACUUGACAGCUCAUUUCCUUAUAGCAAAUACCUUGGUCUUAUGACUAUAUGUUUAGAUUAAGGAAGGAAUAAAAUGUAGCAGUCA